rnacentral:rRNA from 1 species
GCUUGCAGCCAUAUCACUCUGCAACUCGCAACUGACAACACAGUGAAGCUCAGCAGGUGUGAGCCUGGCCAGUACCUGGAUGGGAGACCUCCUGGGAAAAACGAAGGGUGCUGCUUGAA